CCCCCAUGCAUCUGAGUAGAUCUUUGGCAGAAUGGAAUGACCCACACAGUUCUGAUGGAAUGGCCCUGAGAGCCUAAAUCUUUUGCAGAAUGAGGCUGAUAUGAAUGAAUAACUGUGAUAUACCAGCACCAUGAAUCCAGGGUCGAUAUCUGCUCUAUGGGCAGAGUCAUGUCACCUACCUUACUGACAAAGAACAUGACCUACUCACAUUGAAGGGUGCAAGGGCAUCAUCCAAAGGAGUGAGCUCUGUCUAUAUGGUUCCUCUGAAGUUCAGUGAACAGUUUGUAGCGUGCUGUCUGGCUUCUAUCCGGGAAAUGUUGGGAUUUGAUAGUUUUGCAAGAUAGAUUUGUCUCAAACAGUACACCCUGGUACACAGAAUCCCCACAGGCAGGAUAUCCCUGUUAGGUGAAAUUUUCGUUGGAAAGGACCUGUUCAUUGCUGCUUUUCCUAACAGCAUGAGGGCCCUGGAACACCUGCUUCUGUAUCGUUCACGUGUGCUUUUCAGUUCCACUCUGGUUGGAUUUAAAUGAAGAUUGAUGGUGUCUCCAUGACCCACA
rnacentral:lncRNA from 1 species